rnacentral:rRNA from 1 species
CAAUAGCGUAUAUUAAAGUUGUUGCAGUUAAAAGCUCGUAGUUGGAUUUCUGGGAGAGUGGCGAUGUCCGCUUAACGUGUGUGCAGCGACGCUCUUCCAUCCUUCUGUUAGCGUCUCUUGGCAUUCAUUUGCUGGUGGCGGGCUCAGAUAUUUUACCUUGAGAAAAUUAGAGUGUUUCAGGCAGGCUAGGCCGGAAUACAUUAGCAUGGAAUAAUGGAAUAGGACUACGGUCUCUUUGUUGGUUUGAGGGACUGCAGUAAUGAUUAAUAGGGAUAGUUGGGGGCGAUUAGUAUUUAAUUGUCAGAGGUGGAAUUCUCAGAUUGUUAAGACUAACUUAUGCGAAGACAUUUGUCCAAGGAAUGUUUUCUAUUAAUUCAAGAACGAAAGUUAAGGGGAGUCAAAGAAUGAUCAGAUACCAU